GCCCUUUCUUCUGCGCCAUCUUGUGGCAGUUGAGAGCAGGCCCAGGGCAGAAGGGAGGCAGGGGCAUUAAGAGCUCAGGCCUCCAGCUGAGGGACUGCAGAUGUUGGACUCAUGGAGGCAACCACUCAAGGUCACUCUGAGAAGGGUUGAACGUGCUUUAUUAAAAGGACUGAGGAUCAUGUGUGUUGGUGUGUCCCGGAGUCUGCUCUAAGACUCAUGGAGGCAACCACUCAAGGCCACUCUGAGAAGGGUUGAACGUGCUUUAAAUUAAAAGGACUGAGGAUCAUGUGUGUUGGUGUGUCCUGGACUCUGCUCUAAGGCCCUGUGGCUGCCUGGUGCCCUGGGAAUGGUCCGGUCAUGGGCCUCAGCCCAGGAUGAGCAGCCAACAAUGCAAUCCCACGAAGAGUGUGCGGAAGGGAGAGGUUACUUCUCAAGAUGGAGCUGCCAAAUAGGGACACUUUGGAGAGUCUGGCCUGAGAACUUUUAGUUUCAAGAAUGUAUUGCUUUGGAAAAGACAGAAUAAAAGUCCAAGCACUGCCA
rnacentral:lncRNA from 1 species